UUGGAUUAUGUGACGAUAGAACGAAAAGCCGCGGGAGCCAAGUUUAUAUUUGAAGAUUAUUCCCACGGAUCGGAAAGAUAUUGCGCGGGUCCCGUCCUUGCGUGUAUCUUUAGUCCAAAUUUUUAUAUUACACCGGAAUUUCGAAAUUUCGAGGCCGUCACACCCGAGUGCCUAUCGUCCCGUAGAGUAUGGAAUGUCCUACCGUCACGGUCACGUCACAGAAAGGUAGACGUCGGUCACGGGAAACUGGAUACCUGGAUAUUUGUCUACGUUUGCGUCUAGCGAGUCUCUUGCGCUCGAACGCGCAUGAAUAACGAAAGUGAAAAAAGUCUAAUGUGAAAUCGCAACGUACCGAGGUUUUGGCAAAAGGCGGUCGAUUCAGCGUCAGCCAACUACUACCCAUGAGGUCCACUGGUUUCCACCUGUCCACGUUACCCUUUCAUUAUAACGCGGCCAAUUUGGUCAGAGCUCAUAAAGCUUCCUUCAGAGCCGUGGAAGGGGCGUCCAGGGAGUCAUGGAGGGAGGAGAACUUUAUCGUGGGUUCUACCGGGGGAGGAAUUUUUUUCAAAGACGCCACAAUGACGAUGAUGACAGCUAUUAUGAUGGCAGUGACGCCGCUAACGGAGUCCACCGACAAUGAGCCAUCAUCGUGGGUGGGUUACCUGGGCCCGGGUGCAAAAGUAGGCGACAAUAACGUCCGUCGGGGGGGCAGAAGGGGGGCCAGCACUCGCGAAGGCGACUUCGCGGCCUCAACAAACGACGAACUUCCGGCGUGUUCAGGAUGAGCUGGACUUCCGGCGAACCUUCGGAACCCCGAAGCGGAUGGACCAAAGCAGAAUUUAAAGAGCAGCAAAGCGUCAGGCUUCAUUAAUUCGCAGCUAAGCGCCGAUACACCUGGACCAGGAUCAUUAGCCGAUAUACACACCAGGCUAACAUCCUACAUAGCUCGUAAAGUCUCUACGAGUCUGGCGCAGCUCGGACAUCCUGCCAAUUUCUCACGAGACAACAGACACGAGGUCCAGAAGCUCAUGAUUCGACGUGCAAAUAAAAAUGAAAGCUUCCACGUAA